rnacentral:rRNA from 1 species
CCCUUAGAUGUUCUGGGCCGCACGCGCGCUACACUGACGAAUGCAACGAGCUUAUAACCUUGGCCGAAAGGUCUGGGUAAUCUCCAAAUUUCGUCGUGAUGGGGAUAGAUUAUUGCAAUUAUUAAUCUUCAACGAGGAAUGCCUAGUAAGCGCAAGUCAUCAGCUUGCAUUGAUUACGUCCCUGCCCUUUGUACACACCGCCCGUCGCACCUACCGAUUGAAUGGUCCGGUGAAAUCUCGGGACGGCGGCUUGGUCGCUUGCGUCCGACUGCUGAAACUUGAUUAAACCAUAUCAUUUAGAGGAAGGUGAAGUCGUAACA